GGUCCAGACUCCUACGGGAGGCAGCAGUGGGGAAUAUUGCACAAUGGGGGAAACCCUGAUGCAGCGACGCCGCGUGAGUGAAGAAGUAUUUCGGUAUGUAAAGCUCUAUCAGCAGGGAAGAAAAUGACGGUACCUGACUAAGAAGCCCCGGCUAACUACGUGCCAGCAGCCGCGGUAAUACGUAGGGGGCAAGCGUUAUCCGGAUUUACUGGGCGUGAAGGGGGCGCAGGCGGCGCGCCAAGCCCGAUGUGAAAGCCCGGGGCUCAACCCCGGGACUGCAUUGGGAACUGGCGUGCUGGAGUGCCGGAGGGGCAGGCGGAAUUCCUGGUGUAGCGGUGAAAUGCGUAGAUAUCAGGAGGAACACCGGUGGCGAAGGCGGCCUGCUGGACGGAUACUGACGCUGAGGCCCGAAAGCGUGGGGAGCGAACAGGAUUAGAUACCCCGGUAAG
rnacentral:rRNA from 1 species